AUAGCCUUUAGUCAGAGUUCCUUCCUCACGUCCCUCUCAGGUCUCGUCACGACCAACACCCCACCUCCCUCCCUGCCUUUCUGCACGUCUUCACUGCCACCAUCCGUGGACCCCCACCCGCCAGAUAAAGUCUAUUUUCUCUCAAAUACCACAGACAGUGAAGCAAAAAGACACCGGCUGUGUCCUCUUGUCCCAGCUCCACUACAAGCAAGCAAACCCUUGCAUACCCCCAUCCCGCUUCCCUUGGGCUCUGCGCAGUGAAGACUCCUGGAAGGAGCCUCGCCUGCCAUGUCCUCUGUGCACGCUUUGACUGAGCCAAGACUGACAUUUUUGGAGGUGGGUCAGUAUCUAGGACUCUACUGCCUCAACGGUAAUAAGAACCACCAGGGGUAUAAUCUACAAAGGCAAGAUAAACCUCUGCCUUGGAGGACCUAGAGGGCCAUAUUGAAGAGCAGUGCAUUCUGGGAAGAGGUCCUGGGCUCCAGUUCUCUUCAGAGAAUGUGAGCUUCUUGUCAGCCUGGCACAAGCUCGGGUCAUCUAGGAAGAGAAAAACCUCGACUGAGAAGCCCCUCCAGCAGCCUAUAGUCGAGUCUGUGGGGCAUCCUCUCCAUCGAGGGUGUAGGAGGGCGCAGCCCACUAGGGGUGGUGUCACCCCAGAGCAGGUGGCCCUGGGUUCUAUAAGGAAUCAGACUGUACAAGGCACGAGGAGCAAGC